rnacentral:misc_RNA from 1 species
AUAGACAAUUUUCAUCGUUAGGUUAAGUAGACUUAGAAGGAUGUAAAUAACAAAUUGAUGUUAGUUAGAUUUGUCACAUACUGAGAAGGAAUAUUGGAGUAUUGAAUAAACAUACUAAAAAAUUUAAAAACUAUACACUAUAGAACCUCAUUUUAUUUUGUAUUUAAUGGUUAUUUGUAAAUAUACUUAUGUGUUAUAAAACCGUAAUGAAAAUCAGUUAAUCAUUUGAUUUAAUUAUAUUUUAAGGAUUUAAGAAUUUAAGAUCAAAGCUUUUAAAUAUCAUGGCAAAAUAUGAAGAGGACGUUUUAGAAAAGUUUAAACGUCGUGUUGCCAGCACUGAACAGAGGGCAAGAGAAUGUCUAAGCCUCCUGAAAUUUUCUGAAGGUCUUGUAAAGCGGGAUAUCAGCAUAGUGAGGAUACAGAUAGAUUUACGUCUGCAGAAACUGGAGAGAAAAGCGCUUGAUGAACUUGAACGACUUUACUUAACCGAAAAGGAACAUAUCGAAGAACUUGUUGACAAACUUGAGAUUUUUCUCUAAGAGAGCUAAUUCCUCAACGUCUGAAGGGAAUAUCGCAGAAAUAGAGCAAGAGUUAAGGAAAGAAAGUAAUAAUAUCUAUCGAAAACGAUUCAUAUUUGACACAAACAAAGACUUGGACAUAACACUUGACAAGCUCGGCACGUUUGGGAGGACUCUUGUGAAAAGGAUUGAUGAAAAUCAGAUUGAUAUCACCAACAGCAGUGAUGAUAAAAUAGAUACUCUGAGUGUUACACAAGAAAUAACGGAAUGUAACGAUGCAGGCAAUAUAGGAGGAGAUAGUUUUGAUAUUUGUAGGGACAGAACACGGAAUACAAACAAAGAUACCGACAUGUUCGCUGAGACUGACCCUUUUGACAUUUUAAGGUCAAUGAAAACGGGAAUAUCUAAGAACGGAAUUAGUUCUUGUAAAAACAACUUUCGAUAUUGGAAGAAUAUGGACCGUACCAAAAUUAUUCAUUUACAGCCUUCAAAACAUGUUAAGUUCGCGGAUGAGUUAGAUGAGAAGGAAAAAAUAUCAUACAAGACUGGAACUGGAAAAGGCAAUGAGUCUUUACUCAAUCAAAGAGGCAGGCUUGUUACAGACUGUGAGAGGAAGAGACGAGCUAGAAGCGCUAGCCCAAGAGCAGUACAUUUUAAUUCCAAUACAAAAAGGGACAAGAUGCAAGGAAUCUUAAAGCAUAUAACUAAAUUAACAAAUGAUAUUCAACCGGUGUGUCACGACAGUGAUAUAACUUCUGUUUCAGCAGACAUUCCUGAUGUUGCCAGGCAACCAUGUGAAUCGUUUCUGCAUCAGGACGACUUGGAUAGGAUACCUUUUGGAAAAUCGUUGGAGAAUAAAGACACCAAAGCCAAAAUAAAUGAAUAUGGUCGGACAAUGACAAUGACCAAAAGAUCACUUGAAACAAAUUGCGAUGACAAAGAACAUUUAAUACAACAUACAUUCAUAGAGCCAAGCGCACUCUCUAAUCAGCUGAAAGAAGAAAAUACUAACAGCAGUGCUGACAACACCAGCAUUUCAAAUAAUGAUUACAAAAGUAGUAUAUGGUCAUAUAAACAAAAUCGCCUAAGCAUGGACAAUAAUACAACACAAAGACAACUCAAAUUAAAAGAAAAACGAAAACGAAAUCGUUCGCUUUCAAUUGAUAUCAACAAAGUAAUAACAGAAGCAAAAAAUCAAUGUGAUGAUAGUAAAAUAGUUUCGAAAUCGGACAGAUUGCGUUUGCCAAGUUUUGAUGAACAUUAAUUUUAGCCGUGUAAUUGUCUAAGUUACAUGGGAAAAAUAUUCAGCCGUCUAAAAGAUAGCUUUAUAUUAAAGUCUUUAACUAUGAUAGGAGAAGAAAUCUGUGCAUUAACGAAAUUUCACGGUCAUUUAACACGUCAUUUAGAAAUAUACAUGUACGUUGUUUCUGGCAACCGCAUGUAGUGUAGUGUUCACUCUUCCACAAAACACUUACAUGCACCCCACUACACUUUCCAAGGCCUAUGAACUCAUCGCAAAGAUACUGGUAACAUUGGCAAAUCGUUGGUAAAAAUUCACUUUCAGUUAAAACAUUCUGUGACUUUAGAUUCUACCCGCAUUUGUUGCUGCAUUUACGAAGCCUUUUAUCUCUCACCACAAUGCAUCUAAAACUGCUGCUUUUCGUCUUCCUACUGCGCGAGGUUUCCGAAUGUCUCUAAAACACUUAUGCUGCUGUAUAUAAACUAGUGACUAUGUAGCACUCUGAUGCUUUACAACGUGUUGGAAUUUCUCCAGUAUAUAUUGGAGUUAUUCCAUAUUCUACUGAAAACUUGAAGACUUUCCAAUAGCCGCGCCAUCUUUGGACAUCGCAUCUUUCGACAAUAUGCGUUUGAUCACUUGUUUGCAUGAAAAGAAUUCUGUUCAACUUAUGACGUCACCUACUUUAAAUGUGAAAGUAUGACAUGAGAAUGAUUUACUCUGACAUAUAUUUAAAGGUUGAGCGGAAAUAUUGGCAAUACUAGGCAUAUUCAUAUAACAAAUCUACGUGUUUAAAAUUAAGAAAGAAAAAAUGAAAACUGUUGACUGGAUUUUUAUGAACAUAUUUAAGUAUUGGUAAAGUUGAAGAAUUAAAUUAAAUGCAUGCAGUUAACAAUGGUAUCCCGAUACAGAAACACAGGGCAGUUUCUCAGGUAUCGGAACACAUGUAUGAGGUUUCUUGGUGAUGCAAAAUAUACACAAAGAAACAAACAAAAAUAAAUAGUGUACAAAAUUAUCAGUAUGAAGUUACCCUGUUUUCUUGUUCACGAAGCGAAUGUUCUUUUCGAGAUAAUUUGCUCGUCAAGUCGUGUUAACGAUUUAUUGUCUCAUAUAUGCGAGAUAUAUCUUCUAACAAGAAGACCAUACGUACAUGUGUUUGUACAUAUUUCUCCAUGACGCUAAAAUACCCUGUAAUUAAGAUAAACUGUUCUAGUAAUAACGGGAUAACCAACACUUUUCCUCUGAACGAGUGCGUUCGUCUUUCAUAGUUUUUGUAUUAACGACACUUUAAAUCACUAAGACUAGAUAUAUUGACCUCUAUGUAGAUGAUUAAGACAGUAUUUAGUGGUAGUACACAAUUAUAGCUAUACAUGUAAUAAGUGUGUACUAUUUUAAAGCUGAUCCCAGCAAACACCUGAUGUCGUACCGACGUUGGUUAGAUGAAGGAUUGUGGUCGCGACGCCGGCGACCUGAAUCCAACGUCUAACCAACGUGAUAACCACGACGUCUAAUAGACGUCAGACUUAGACGUCUAGGAGACGUUCGAAUUAGGUUGGAUAGAAAGUCUGUUUAAAUGUUUUCAUUUAUGAAAUUAACUGGUGUAAUUUUGCUAGUAUAGUUUAAAGAUAGUUACGCCUGAACAUGCGCUUAUAAAUAAUAGUUCAUUCGCACAUCAAACAUUAUCAUUAAUUAUGUUACAAAAUCGCAUGAGAUUGUCUAUUUUCAGAAACGGAUAUCAUUUAUACCAAUUUAAAACUGUUCAGGAAAAAAUUGCAUUCUAUACACAUGUAUAAAUUAUUCUAAAUUCACCUAAGGAUCUUGUUCUACACAUGUUGUUUAUUAGUCAUGCCUUCGCGAGAUAAGCCUGCAUCGGUUUACACAAGUCUUCGGUAAUUUGAUAUUUGUGGGAUAAGAUAGAGCAAGUUUAUAAAUACUUUACACAAAGGGAUCCGCAACAUGGGAAUUUUAGCGGAGUUGAAAAAUCGUGCAUACAUGACUAAACUUGAAAGUUUCAAUUACUGGAUUACCUUUUUUGGAUUGAUGACAUUAGACUUAUGUCGCUAUCAUCUGAAAUAAAGAUGGUAAAAUACAUGUGUUGAUUACUUGUUUGAUUGCAAAUUCUGUUGAAAAUUUUGUCAGAUUUUG